rnacentral:rRNA from 1 species
UACAGAGGUCUCAAGCGUUGUUCGGAUUCAUUGGGCGUAAAGGGUGCGUAGGCGGCGUGGUAAGUCGGAUGUGAAAUCUCGGAGCUUAAUUCCGAAACUGCAUUCGAUACUGCCGUGCUUGAGGACUGGAGAGGAGACUGGAAUUUACGGUGUAGCGGUGAAAUGCGUAGAUAUCGUAAGGAAGACCAGUGGCGAAGGCGGGUCUCUGGACAGUUCCUGACGCUGAGGCACGAAGGCCAGGGGAGCAAACGGG